GGGGUGGUGAGGCGGAUGGGGGAGGCCUUGUGCCGGGGAGGGCUGAGCGAGGGCUCGCAGGGCCGGCUGCGGGUUGCCGGCCGUCCCUCAGUGCGCAGAUGCUAAGCUAAGGUGAUACAUCUUCCCACUUAGACCCGCAAAACUGCACAAGAGACUUAUAACUGAGACACAGCCUGAAGAAAGUUAAGGAAGUUGUUAGUAGUCUCUGUCACAAAUGAGAAGACUCAUUUGGUUGGUCUUUUCUGGUUCUGGUCUUUUCUUCAGACUUUGAUGAAACUACAAAGUACAGAAAGUUGUUUUUGCUGAGGGAGCAGCAUCUGUAAGAAGAAAAAGAGAAACUUCAAGCAAAACAAAAAAAGCUAGAGGAAGCCAAUGAGAAGAACUAUAGUUGGUUAUGACUAAUCUGCUACAAGCUUAAGUUUUCUUGUUACUUAAUGGGUCUUUUAACUUAAUUUAUAGAGUCCAUUGAAUCUAUUUCUUCUUAAUUUCUUUUGACAGUUAAGACUUUUUUUUUUUUUUUUUUUUUUUUCCAUAAAGUAUGUGAAGCUCAUGUACUUUGGCUAAGAAAUCUGUUAGCAUCUGGAGUAACAGUACAACAACAUUCAGAUUUUUUAUGAAAUAGAGGUUAGUAAGCCACAAACAGUAAACCUGAAGUAUCUCACACCUCUUUGCUGUGCCUUCACUUUUCAGUGAUAGUUAAAGUAUGAUAUAAAAAAAAAUUCCUUUUUGUUUGCCUGUUUGACAUGGUCAAUGCAAAUAAAUCACAUUAAGCUUCGAAAAACAGUUAAUUAUCUAUCAGCAAGCUCAUUCAUUUCCAGCAUGUAGGUAGAUGUUGUUUCAAACAGAAAAUGAUGUUCUAAAAGUCCAUGUGGACCUGUUAAUUGUGAGAGAAACGUGUAGAAUACCCCAUGUAAAAUGAGCAUGCUGCUUUUCAGUAAAAACCUUUAUUUCACUGUCAGAAAUGCUAUACACAUUCAAGUUGAGUUAUGCAGUUUGUUACUUCUCAAGAUGGUUGUACCUCUUGAUUGAGCAAGUCAAGAGUUUCUUAAGACAUUAUAUGCUUUACAUAAAGCAUACAUCAAGUGGGAAUGACACUACAGGAAUAUUUACGUUUUCAAGUCAUUCUUCGUAUUUGAAUGACAGCUGAAUGAACCAUCACUUAAAAGAAAGAAGAAAACAAAUGAUAUUUUUUGUUAAAGUAAAGAACGUGUUAAGGAUGGAAGGAACAUCUAGGAAAGUAUAACAAUCAUUGCAAUUGCAAGAGUAAGUUGUGGAGGAAAAAAGACUGCUGCUGUCCUAUUCUGGAGAUUACUAUGACAGGUUACUAAGUUCCACUCCAUUUAAAAAUUUCUUCCUGCAAAUUAAGGAAGGGUUUUCUAAAAAUUGAGUAGAGUUCCAUAAUGGAACUGUGGCAAAUUAAAACAGGUUGCUGUGACAGUUCCUAAAAUAUUUCUAUUUUAGCUUUGUUUUGUAUUAUAAAUAUGUAAUAUAAACAUGUAAGUCAUUCUUGUCAAAACAGGACAUUAUAUUUCUUUUUGGGAAAAAUUACCAGACCUUUUCUUGAUGCUCUUAAUUUUACAUAUUUAACAAAAUAAAAAUAAGGUCUAAUUCCAAAUGCUUACAUUUAUAUCUGCAUAAUUAUAAACCCACAUAAAUACAGCUUUAGUCUUACAAAUGAGUCUUAAGUAUUAUAUAUGGUAUUGUUAGCUUUGAGUUUGCCUACUGCUCUGUUUAACAAGUGACUAAAAAAUAAAUGAUAUUUAACACUGACAAAACUGUUCUUAGUGGUUUCCCAAAUAGAAGUCAAUGGCAAAGAUAGAGGUCAGUGCCAGAAGAUAUUAACAGUUCUGGGUUUUGUUCCAAUAGCACAAUACCGUGUCAAAUCUAAAUGGAUGCAGGAAAUUGCAUCUACUCCUUUGUAAAUAAGAAACAGGUGGGCUCAGAGAUACAGACCAAAAAAUAGCACAGAUUUAUCUUGCAGAUUUUUUUGAUGAAAUCUUUCAUAAGGAACUUAUUUAAUAUUUGUUCCAGUGGACCACUGUGUUAACUGAAUAAGUUUAAAUCAAAAGUAAAACGAACCUAUCUUUCUGCAUCCAUUAAUUUACAACAAGAUGAAGUUAACCCAGAAUUUUUAUGAGGAAGAGUGAGAGUUGAGUCUUAAUAUUCACAGGUACAGAAAGAAGGACAGUUUUUUGACAUCAAGAUAUAAGAACUAUACUUUGGAGAAGGAGCUGUGAAAGAUAGGGGUCAGUUGUGUGGGGCCAUAAGGUUUGUAAAUUACUGUUUAAGAUAUUUCUUCAAUUAAAACUUGCAGGUGUGCCCCAGAAUACAGAUACCCAGCUCUGUCCUAUAUACAGUAAUCCCAGAUCUUAAAGCAAAGAUUUUUGUUUGCUUGCUUUUUAUAUUGUCUGUUGAUUAUUUCUCCAAAUACAGUUUGGUGUCUGCAAUUGGUUUCUGGCAGAGUCUCUCAGAAUGUGAUUCAAGUACUGCAUCAAGGGCAGCAAGGUUUUCUUGACUUGUGUCAAGACGUUAGAAAUCAUUUAAUUAAUGACAGUGUAUUUUUGCUUCUUUGAAGAUGCUAAUGAACAAGGAAAAGGAAAAGUCCCAAAGACAGGAACAAAAUGACGAGGGUCAAAAUUAUUCUCUGUUAGAGUGGAGAUGCAUUGGCUCAGGCUGCCCAAGUCAGUGGUGGAGUCACCAACCCUGGAGACACUCAAGAACCGUGGAGAUGUAGCACUGGAAGAAGACAUAGUGGACAUGGUGGGAAUGGGUUGAGGUUAGAUUUGGUGAUUUUAGUGGUUUCUUUUUCCAACCUUAAUAAAUCUACGAUUCCUUGAA